GGACGCGCCCAAUCUCGUCUGAUCUCGGAAGCUAAGC
rnacentral:rRNA from 1 species